ensembl:lncRNA
CGGGGUCCUGCGCUAACAGAUGACGUAUCGACACUUGACUAUCGACACCAUAGAUAUAUAUUAACUAGAUGCCUCGUCCGCGCUGCUGGCCAAUGGAGUCGAACGUCACCACUGGCGACCAUCUUACCACAUUACCAAGCAGGAGGACCAUCCACAUCAACUGCUAGCAGGAGACCUCUAAAAGCUGUUCAAUUCCUUUCUACCUAGCAGCCUCCACCAUAGCACCAUCCAGUGACUUACCAUCAGAAAGGGGCCAGCUCUACAUUACAAGAGGCGAGAGCUAAUUGUAAACUACAACCUUGUUCUUCCGAGCGCCAAACCAUAAUCAACGGUCAACUGAACGAGCUGCACUUUAUAAACAUUUUUCAUGAAAUGGAAACAAGUUCUUUGCAUAGCAAACAUUGAACCUGAAAACAAUAUAAAUUGUUUCUAAAAAUAUAAAUGUGUUACACUAUGUAUAAAAA